rnacentral:misc_RNA from 1 species
UCUCCGUAGGUGAACCUGCGGAGGGAUCAUUACAGAGUUCAUGCCCUACCGGGUAGAUCUCCCACCCUAUGUUAUUAUUACUUUGUUGCUUUGGCGGGCCGUUAGGCUCCGGCCCGACUACCGGCCCCGGCUGGUAAGCGCCCGCCAGAGGACCCAAAACCCUGAAUAUUAGUGACGUCUGAGUACUAUAUAAUAGUUAAAACUUUCAACAACGGAUCUCUUGGUUCUG